rnacentral:rRNA from 1 species
AGCGAACGCUGGCGGCAGGCCUAACACAUGCAAGUCGAACGAACCUUUCGGGGUUAGUGGCGGACGGGUGAGUAACACGUGGGAACGUGCCUUUAGGUUCGGAAUAACUCAGGGAAACUUGUGCUAAUACCGAAUGUGCCCUUCGGGGGAAAGAUUUAUCGCCUUUAGAGCGGCCCGCGUCUGAUUAGCUAGUUGGUUGAGGUAAUGGCUCACCAAGGCGACGAUCAGUAGCUGGUCUGAGAGGAUGAUCAGCCACAUUGGGACUGAGACACGGCCCAAACUCCUACGGGAGGCAGCAGUGAGGAAUCUUGCGCAAUGGGCGAAAGCCUGACGCAGCCAUGCCGCGUGAAUGAUGAAGGUCUUAGGAUUGUAAAAUUCUUUCACCGGGGACGAUAAUGACGGUACCCGGAGAAGAAGCCCCGGCUAACUUCGUG